rnacentral:lncRNA from 1 species
AGAGACAGCUGGGAUCUGGUGUUGCUGUGGCUGAGGCAUAGGCCAGCAUCUGUAGCCCUAAUUCGACUUCUGACCUGGGAACUUCAUAUGCCAUAGGUGCAGUCCUAAAAAGAUAAAGGAAAGGAAAAGCCUUCUGGCUAGAGAGCAUGUUCGCUGCGCAGCGGCACCUCCUUGCCUGCUGAUAAGAAAAGCGCAGGUCAUCAUGUUGCCCACAAUCCUUGUGAGCUCAUUUCUGCACCUAGUAGGCAGGAUUGGGGAUUGGUGCCCACAUUACUAGAAACAUAAAUGAUUAAAUUUGUGCCUUGAGAACCACAUAAGAUUCUAUGCGAGGUGCAGACAGGUAUUUGGCUUUCCAAAGAAGAGAUAUCAUCAUUGCGUCUUUCUUUUAUACUAGAAUUCAUGAAGAACAAACCUGUGCAAAGGACUGUGGACAAUGUCGACUUGGACUAGGUCUCGGUUAGCCUCACCCCAGGGCUUUUCCCACAUUCAUCUCUACAGCGCUUAGAGCUCUUGCAGCAUCUGUUAGGCCAGCGUAAAUAGCAUGGGAUGAAUGUUGCUCUUAAAUAUAAUAAGAUAAAAUAAUUUUUAAACUAUAAAUAUCCUUUUCAAAUGUCAUUUUGUCUUCAGCAUUUUUCUCAUCAGAGGAACAAGAACUAUUGAGUUGGAAAAGAGAGGAGGAGUUCCUGCACUAACAGACCUCAGAGUUAGAAGCAAUUGAAUUCAGGGCAUAUUUGAAUAUUUCUCUAAAGAAAAAAAUUAUUUUAGACUGCUUUUUACUUGUAGUAGACUCUAGAUAUUUUUUCUGUUUAAGUCAGUGAGCCUGCAAUAAACUACAUGUCUUUAGAAUGUAUGUCAGAGUCAGAUGGCCUUUUAUUCUAUCACGUCUAAUUUUUCAACUUGUCUUCUUCAAAUGUAUUGUUUCCUGUAAAUCCUUAAUGUACUAUUAGUGUCAAAUUCAGAAAUGGAUUAUCUGUUUAAAUAUUUAUAAACCUAAGCAGGGUGUUUUCUGUGAUUAUUGCCACAUAAAUUACUGAUUUUAGAGAGAGUGCACAUUUUCAAACAUUGAGACCAAUUUUUUUUUUCAUUAAAAAAUUUCUAGGAGUUCCCGUCAUGGCUUAAUGAUUCGUUAACCACCGAGCCACAAAGGAAACUCCUGUUCAACAGACUUUGAGUGAAUGUCUCAGGAGAAGUGACUGGGUAGCUCCCAUUCCAAAAGCAUUUCAGUGCCUGGAGGGAAGACAGACUGUUAUAUCAAAUAAUCACAAUAAAAAAGAUAGGGAGACAGCUGAGUAUUAUCAAACAGUAGCAAUUCUUAUGUUCUGUGUUUUUCUGUUUCCCGUGUAUUCUUUUUUAUUUUUUGGCCAUGCCACAGUGUCUGGAAGUUACCAGGCCAGGAUCAAACCUGUACCAUAGCUGCAAUCCAAACCACAGAAGUCACAAUGCCAGAUCCUUAACCCACUGUGCCACCAGGGAACUCAGCUCGCUCAUAUUCUUAUGCUGAAGUAAUAAUCCCCAAUGAGAUGGCAUUAGGGGGUGGGGCCUUUAGAAGGCAGUUUGGUUUAGAUGAAGUCAUAGGGAUGAGGUCUCCAUAACAGGAUUAGCAUCCUUACAUGGAGAAAAAGAGACUAGAGCUUUCUCUCUCUACCAUGUAAGGACACAGCAAGGAGAUAGCACUGCAAACCAGGAAGAGGGCCUUUACUAGAACCUGACCAAGCAGGUACCCUGACCUCAGGUUUCCCGGCCUCCAAAACUGUAAGAAAUAAAUUUUCUAUUGUUUAAGCCACCCAGUCUAUGGUACUUUUGUUACAGCAGCCUGAGCUGACUAAAACAGCAAUUAACUGUUCCCCAAAGUUAAGUGCGGGUGUGGGCCUACUGCUCCAGAGGCAGUAUCACCCAACGCACAGAUUCAAGACCUUGGUCAAAACCUUCCGGUAAGUCUCCUUCCAGGUGCUGGCUUGUCUUAAAUUCCUCACGCUCUUCCUCUCAGUAGUAAAUCAUCACUAAUGCUGACUAAAUGGAAAAGUCCUGCUUAACCACUGGAGACUCCGGGUGCCAGGUGCUCCUGAAAUAUCACAGGCAGAGUUUCUGCUACAAGGUGGUUAAAAAAAAGUACUCCAGUAAGGAUAACCUGACCCCCUUGCUGUACAGUGGGAAAAUUUAAAAAAAAAAAAAAAAAAAAAAAAA